rnacentral:rRNA from 1 species
UUUGAUCCUGGCUCAGAGCGAACGUUAGCGGCGGGGCUUAACACAUGCAAGUCGAGCGAGAAAGGGGCUUCGGCCCUGAGUACAGCGGCGGACGGGUGAAUAACACGUAGGUAACCUUCCUUUCAGCGGGGGACAACGGUCCGAAAGGACCGCUAAUACCGCAUACGUUCCCUGGGACCUCGGUCCUGGGGAGGAAAGGCCCGCAAGGGCCACUGGAUGAGGGGCCUGCGUAGCAUCAGCUAGUUGGUGGGGUAAUGGCCUACCAAGGCGAAGACGCUUAGCUGGUCUGAGAGGAUGAUCAGCCACACUGGGACUGAGACACGGCCCAGACUCCUACGGGAGGCAGCAGUGGGGAAUAUUGGACAAUGGGCGCAAGCCUGAUCCAGCCACGCCGCGUGAGUGAUGAAGGCCUCGGUCGUAAGACUCUGUGGGGAGGGGACGGAACGGGACGGCCACUGAAGAGUGGCGAGUUGACGGUACCGUCCUUACGUCAAG